UAGAGUUUGAUCAUGGCUCAGGAAUGAACGCUAGCGGCAGGCCUAAUACAUGCAAGUCGAACGGGUGGUAGCAAUACCACUAGUGGCGCACGGGUGCGUAACGCGUAACCAACCUGCCCUUGACUGGGGGAUAGCCCGCCGAAAGGCGGAUUAAUACCGCAUAAACUCACAGUGUGGCAUCACACAAUGAGUAAAGAUUUAUUGGUCAAGGAUGGGGCUGCGUGACAUUAGCUAGUUGGCGGGGUAACGGCCCACCAAGGCGACNAUNUCUAGGGGAGCUGAGAGGCUGAUCCCCCACACUGGCACUGAGAUACGGGCCAAANUCCUANNGGANGCAGCA
rnacentral:rRNA from 1 species